UGGACGGACGGACAUACAUGGGGUGGAGAUGAGGGGUGGAAGGACAUGGAUUUGGGGUGUAAGGAUGAGGGAAGAGAAACUCAGGGUUGGGAGGGGAGUGUGGGGUGGAGCCAGGGAUGCCCCCCAAGAUGGAGGAUGAGGAUGGGGACAGCUGGGGUGGAUCAGGGGGAUGGGACAGAGGGAAAUGGGUUUGGUGUGGAAGAACAAGGAUGGAAACAUAUGGGAUGGGAAAACGUGGGAUUGGGAUGGGAUGGAGGGACAGGGAUGGGACAGGUGGGAUCAAGGGAUGAGGACAGAGCUGGGUGGGUUUGGGACAGAGGGAUGGGACAGAACAGGAUGGAGCCCAGUGGGAUGGAGAGCAAGAGGGCAGAGGUUUGGGGGCACGGGGUGAUGAUGGGGAGAACACGGAGGGUGCUGAGUACCCCUCUCCCCCCAGCCCUCUCCCCACCUCGAGGCCGCGGUGUCGCUCCCCGAGCCCUUCAGGUUCAGCUCGAGCUGCCCCGGCCCAGCCCGGUUGGAGUCUGCAGCGAGCAGCUGCUCCGAGAGCUCCCGGAGCUCCGCGUCCGACACGGCCCGGGGGGAUCCCGGUACCGCCCGGGGGGAUCCCGGCACCUCCCGGGGCUCCGGCACCACCCGGGGCUCCGGUACCGCCCGGGGAACCGGGGGCACAUCCCCGCUGCUCCCCGCUCCGGUCACCAGCAGCAGCCACAGCAGCCACGGAGCCAUCGCGACCUCUCCCCCCCGGCCCCGCUGUCGCUUAUAGCUGCUGCUAUCGUCGCGAUAAUGCCCCAAGGUCGCGACGUGACCUCGACAGAGGGGAAGACCCCGGGCCGGGGACAGCCCGAAGCCCCCCGGGCUGGUUGGGGGGGGCUGCACUCGCAGUUCCCCCCGUUUCUGUGCCCGAGGGUUGGUUUGGGGACUCGCCCCCCAAAACUUGACCCGUCCCGGGGUGUUGGCACCUCCAAAUCUGUCCCCUCCGCCCCCCCCGGAGCUGUUUAAUGUUUAAGAGACCAAAUGUGGUCCCUCAAGGACUUCCCAGGGGGGAGGUCACGGCCCCCCCACUCACUGCAGCCUCAGCUCGGCGGGGACAGGGGGGGAUUUGGAGGGUGGCAGAAGCGGGGGGGACCCGCGUGGGGCUCUGUGGACCCUUGAGGGGUUUGGGGAGCACAGAAGCACCUGCGGGUCACGGAGAGGAUCGGGGGGGGCCGUCGGGCAGCGGGGAGAGAUCACCGGGGGCNN
rnacentral:lncRNA from 1 species